rnacentral:rRNA from 1 species
ACGCUGGCGGCGUGCCUAAUACGUGCAAGUCGAACGCACAGCGAAAGGUGCUUGCACCCUUCAAGUGAGUGGCGAACGGGUGAGUAACACGUGGACAACCUGCCUCAAGGCUGGGGAUAACAUUUGGAAACAGAUGCUAAUACCGAAUAAAACUUAGUGUCGCAUGACACAAAGUUAAAAGGCGCUUCGGCGUCACCUAGAGAUGGAUCCGCGGUGCAUUAGUUAGUUGGUGGGGUAAAGGCCUACCAAGACAAUGAUGCAUAGCCGAGUUGAGAGACUGAUCGGCCACAUUGGGACUGAGACACGGCCCAAACUCCUACGGGAGGCUGCAGUAGGGAAUCUUCCACAAUGGGCGAAAGCCUGAUGGAGCAACGCCGCGUGUGUGAUGAAGGCUUUCGGGUCGUAAAGCACUGUUGUAUGGGAAGAACAGCUAGAAUAGGAAAUGAUUUUAGUUUGACGGUACCAUACCAGAAAGGGACGGCUAAACACGUGCCAGCAGCCGCGGUAAUACGUAUGUCCCGAGCGUUAUCCGGAUUUAUUGGGCGUAAAGCGAGCGCGGACGGUUUAUUAAGUCUGAUGUGAAAGCCCGGAGCUCAACUCCGGAAUGGCAUUGGAAACUGGUUAACUUGAGUGCAGUAGAGGUAAGUGGAACUCCAUGUGUAGCGGUGGAAUGCGUAGAUAUAUGGAAGAACACCAGUGGCGAAGGCGGCUUACUGGACUGCAACUGACGUUGAGGCUCGAAAGUGUGGGUAGCAAAC